UACGGAGGGUGCGAGCGUUGUCCGGAAUCACUGGGCGUAAAGGGCGCGUAGGUGGCGGGUCAAGCGUGCGGUGAAAGCUCGGGGCUCAACCCCGAGUCGGCCGUGCGAACUGGCCUGCUUGAGCACUGUAGAGGCAGAUGGAAUUCCGGGUGUAGCGGUGGAAUGCGUAGAGAUCCGGAAGAACACCGGUGGCGAAGGCGGUCUGCUGGGCAGUUGCUGACACUGAGGCGCGACAGCGUGGGGAGCAAACAGG
rnacentral:rRNA from 1 species